rnacentral:rRNA from 1 species
UACGGAGGGUGCAAGCGUUAAUCGGAAUUACUGGGCGUAAAGCGUGCGCAGGCGGUUUGUUAAGUCCGUUGUGAAAGCCCCGAGCUCAACUUGGGAAUUGCAGUGGAUACUGGCAGGCUGGAGUACGGUAGAGGAAGGUGGAAUUCCUGGUGUAGCGGUGAAAUGCGCAGAUAUCAGGAGGAACACCAAUGGCGAAGGCAGCUCGCUGGGACGGUACUGACGCUGAGACGCGAAAGCGUGGGGAGCAAACAGG